rnacentral:rRNA from 1 species
AAUGAACGCUGGCGGCAUGCCUUACACAUGCAAAUCGAACGGCAGCAUGACCUAGCUUGCUAGGUUGAUGGCGAGUGGCGAACGGGUGAGUAAUGCAUCGGAACGUGCCUUUUAGUGGGGGAUAACGUAGCGAAAGUUACGCUAAUACCGCAUAUUCUCUGAGGAGGAAAGCAUGGGACCUUCGGGCCUUGCGCUAGAAGAGCGGCCGAUGUCGGAUUAGCUAGUUGGUGAGGUAAAGGCUCACCAAGGCAACGAUCCGUAGCGGGUCUGAGAGGAUGAUCGGCAACACUGGGACUGGGACACGGCCCAGACGCCUAAGGGAGGCAGCAGUGGGGAAUGUGGGACAAUGGGCGCAAGCCUGAUCCAGCCAUGCCGCGUGAGUGAAGAAGGCCUUCGGGUUGUAAAGCUCUUUCGGCUGGGAAGAAAUCGCAACCUCUAAUACAGGGUGUGGAUGACGGUACCAGCAUAAGAAGCACCGGCUAACUACGUG